rnacentral:rRNA from 1 species
UUCCGGUUGAUCCCGCCGGACCUGACUGCUAUCGGAUUGAUACUAAGCCAUGCGAGUCAUUGUAGCAAUACAAGGCAGACGGCUCAGUAACGCGUAGUCAACCUAACCUAUGGACGGGAAUAACCUCGGGAAACUGAGAAUAAUGCCCGAUAGAACACUAUACCUGGAAUGGUUUGUGUUCCAAAUGAUUUAUCGCCAUAGGAUGGGACUGCGGCCUAUCAGUUUGUUGGUGAGGUAAUGGCCCACCAAGACUAUUACAGGUACGGGCUCUGAGAGGAGUAGCCCGGAGAUGGGUACUGAGACACGGACCCAGGCCCUAUGGGGCGCAGCAGGCGAGAAAACUUUGCAAUGUGCGAAAGCACGACAAGGUUAAUCCGAGUGAUUUGUGCUAAACGAAUCUUUUGUUAGUCCUAGAAACACUAACGAAUAAGGGGUGGGCAAGUUCUGGUGUCAGCCGCCGCGGUAAAACCAGCACCUCAAGUGGUCAGGAUGAUUAUUGGGCCUAAAGCAUCCGUAGCCGGCUCUGUAAGUUUUCGGUUAAAUCUGUACGCUCAACGUACAGGCUGCCGGGAAUACUGCAGAGCUAGGGAGUGGGAGAGGUAGACGGUACUCGGUAGGAAGGGGUAAAAUCCUUUGAUCUAUUGAUGACCACCUGUGGCGAAGGCGGUCUACCAGAACACGUCCGACGGUGAGGGCUGAAAGCUG